rnacentral:rRNA from 1 species
UGGGGAAUAUUGCACAAUGGGCGAAAGCCUGAUGCAGCAAUGCCGCGUGUGUGAAGAAGGCCUGCGGGUUGUAAAGCACUUUCGGUAGGGAAGAUAAUGACGGUACCUACAGAAGAAGCACCGGCUAACUCCGUGCCAGCAGCCGCGGUAAUACGGAGGGUGCGAGCGUUAAUCGGAAUUACUGGGCGUAAAGCGCGCGUAGGCGGCUUUGUAAGUCGGAUGUGAAAGCCCCGGGCUUAACCUGGGAAUUGCAUUCGAUACUGCAUAGCUAGAGUAUGGUAGAGGGUAGCGGAAUUCCGGGUGUAGCGGUGAAAUGCGUAGAUAUCAGGAGGAACACCCAUGGCGAAGGCAGCACUCUGGGCUGGUAUUGACGCUGAGGAGCGAAAGCAUGGGUAGCGAACAGGAUUAGAUACCCAAGUAGUCCCUGAGCGGGCUGGCAAGGCGCAU